rnacentral:rRNA from 1 species
GACGAACGCUGGCGGCGUGCUUAACACAUGCAAGUCGAACGGAAAGGCCCUGCUUUUGUGGGGUGCUCGAGUGGCGAACGGGUGAGUAACACGUGAGUAACCUGCCCUUGACUUUGGGAUAACUUCAGGAAACUGGGGCUAAUACCGGAUAGGAGCUCCUGCUGCAUGGUGGGGGUUGGAAAGUUUCGGCGGUUGGGGAUGGACUCGCGGCUUAUCAGCUUGUUGGUGGGGUAGUGGCUUACCAAGGCUUUGACGGGUAGCCGGCCUGAGAGGGUGACCGGCCAAAUUGGGGAUUGAAUUAGGCCCAACGCCCUUCGGGGGGGAAGAGGGGGGGAAUUUGGACAAAGGGGCGGAACCCGGAUCAGCAAACCCCGGGGGGGGAAGGAGGGCUUUGGGGUUGAAACCCCUUUCCCCUGGGAAGGAGGGGGGGUGGAGGGAAUUGGUAAAAAAAGCCCGGCUAAAUACGGG